CGACCGGCGGAUGGGUGCGUAACGCGUAUGCAACUUGCCUCACAGAGAAGAAUAACCCGGAGAAAUCCGGACUAAUGCUCCAUACACUCUCAAGUACGCCUGUACAUGAGAGGAAAGAUUUAUCGCUGUGAGAUAGGCAUGCGUCCUAUUAGGUAGUUGGUGAGGUAACGGCUCACCAAGCCGACGAUAGGUAGGGGUGCUGAGAGGCAGAUCCCCCACAUUGGGACUGAGACACGGCCCAA
rnacentral:rRNA from 1 species